GAUGAACGCUGGCGGCGUGCCUAAUACAUGCAAGUCGAGCGAACAGACGAGAGUGCUUGCACUCUCUGACGUUAGCGGCGGACGGGUGAGUAACACGUGGGUAACCUACCUAUAAGACUGGUAUAACUUCGGGAAACCGGAGCUAAUCCCGGAUAAUAUUUAGCUUCGCAUGAAGCAAUAGUGAAAGACGGUUCUGCUGUCACUUAUAGAUGGACCCGCGGUGUAUUAGCUAGUUGGUGAGGUAACGGCUCACCAAGGCAACGAUACAUAGCCGAACUGAGAGGGUGAUCGGCCACACUGGGACUGAGACACGGCCCAGACUCCUACGGGAGGCAGCAGUAGGGAAUCUUCCGCAAUGGACGAAAGUCUGACGGAGCAAUGCCGCGUGAGUGAAGAAGGUUUUCGGAUCGUAAAACUCUGUUGUAAGGGAAGAACAAGUACGUAAGUAACUGAACGUACCUUGACGGUACCUUACCAGAAAGCCACGGCUAACUACGUG
rnacentral:rRNA from 1 species